rnacentral:rRNA from 1 species
AGUGAACGCUGGCGGUAGGCCUAACACAUGCAAGUCGAACGGCAGCACAGUAAGAGCUUGCUCUUACGGGCGGCGAGUGGCGGACGGGUGAGGAAUACAUCGGAAUCUACUUUUUCGUGGGGGAUAACGUAGGGAAACUUACGCUAAUACCGCAUACGACCUACGGGUGAAAGCAGGGGAUCUUCGGACCUUGCGCGAUUGAAUGAGCCGAUGUCGGAUUAGCUAGUUGGCGGGGUAAAGGCCCACCAAGGCGACGAUCCUUAGCUGGUCUGAGUGGAUGAUCAGCCACACUGUAACUGAGACACGUUCCAGACUCCUACGGCAGGCAGCAGUGGGGAAUAUUGUACAACGGGCGCAAGCCUUAUCCAUCCUUACCGCGUGGGUGAAGAAGGCCUUCGGGUUCUAAAGCCCUUUUGUUGGGAAAGAAAAGCAGCAGGUUAAUACCCCGCUGUUCUGACGGUACCUAAAGAAUAAGCACCGGCUAACUUCGUG